CCCAGAGUGUGAGCCUGCACACUGCACAGGACACUGCACAGAUGUCCUUUAAGGGUUGAUUGCCUGGAUUGGAGGAGCUCACAUGGUCAUACUCUCCCCCAGGCCUACUCUCCAUGGCCAACUCUGGCCCAAACACCAAUGGCUCCCAGUUCUUCCUAACAUGUGACAAGACAGACUGGCUGGAUGGCAAGCACGUGGUGUUUGGAGAGGUCACCGAGGGCCUGGAUGUCUUGCGGCAGAUUGAGGCCCAGGGCAGCAAGGACGGGAAGCCAAAGCAGAAGGUCAUCAUCGCGGACUGUGGGGAGUUUGUGUGAGACGGCGCUUUCUCUGUUCCCCUUCCUCUGCUCUUGCUCCGGUGCAGCCAGGAGGGAGCUGCCAGCCUCAGCUGUUUGAAGCAGGCAGCGUUUGUGGCAUGAGCCCUUCCUCAGGGUCAGCUUGGAGCAGCUCCUGUGCCGGCACAGCCUGGACUUUUCCCAAGCAUGGCUGUGGGCCCCAGAGCCGUGGGCAGGCUAUACGUGGCUACUAGCUUUUCCCAGCAUUUGCUGCUGGGUUUGUCCUGGGCUCUUUAACAUCGUCUUUGCUAAAAUAAAUCCUAGUUCUUGUA